GACGAACGCUGGCGGCGUGCUUAACACAUGCAAGUCGAACGGUGAGGCCCUGCUUUUGUGGGGUGCGCGUGUGGCGAGAGGGUGUGUAACACGUGUGUAACCUCCCCUUUUCUUUGGGAUAACUUCAUGAAACUGGGGCUAAUACCGGAUAGAAGCACCUUCUGCAUGGGGGUGGUGGGAAAGUUUCGGCGGUUGGGGAUGGACUCGCGGCUUAUCAGCUUGUUGGUGGGGUAGUGGCUUACCAAGGCUUUGACGGGUAGCCGGCCUGAGAGGGUGACCGGGCCCAUUGGGCCAGAGAUACGGCCCAGACUCCUACGGGAGGCAGCGGUGGGGAAUAGUGCACAAUGGGCGGAAGCCUGAUGCAGCAACGCCGCGUGCGGGAUGACGGCUUUCGGGUUGUAAACCGCUUUCGCGUGUGACGAAGCGUGAGUGACGGUAAUGGGUAAAGAAGCACCGGCUAACUACGUG
rnacentral:rRNA from 1 species